rnacentral:lncRNA from 1 species
AUCAUACAUAACCAAUAAUCAUGCACCCAUGGACAUGGUCAGUGUUUAAGAAAGGUUAAUGUCUUCAUUAUGCUUUGAGUAUGUACUUGCUGAUGAGUGUGUGAUACUUAAAGACAUCUGUUGAGCCGGUAUAAUGAGGAGGUACCAAUGAAAGACCAAACAAACCACCCGACAGCUUCAUAUGAAUGCUUGGCAGAUGUUAACAGCCUUCAAUAACCAUUCAGCUCAUCUGGACUAUUACAAAAUGGUGUCCAUCUUCAUCAUUCUGUUGGUCAUCUGGUGCUUCAGAGCUGGUGCUGGACCCCAUCCUCUCCUGCCCGAAAACGAGAACUUUUUCCUUCCAUCUUGCCGACAGCUGCAUUGCUUCUUAGCAAUCUAUCCUCUUCUUGUAACAUCGGAUGCUAAGUUUUACUGACUAUCUUGCCUGAAAAGGCAUGUCUUGGGAUCAGCGCUACCUUGAUAGACUUUAUAGCUGAUAUUUGUAAAACUUGAAAAUGAGCACGUCAUUAUAAUCACUUCAUCCUAGGAUCACUGGCAUUUUAAGGUGUAAUGAAAUAGCAUUCGUGUUAUUCAUCUAGUGGACUCUGAGGCAGUGAUGCCAAAUGGAGACAGAAGUGGUGGGGAAAAGUCUCUUAUGCACUGCUGAGUGAUGCCAACACGUGGGGCGGCUUGUGUUCAACUCUUGUUUUAGUGCUGCACCACGAGUCCAUGCUCCCCAGCCUACUGUGCCUGGCAGCUGAGUGCAGUGACACUGGGUAGCGAUGAACAAGGUGUGGGGAAAUGGCACUCUGCGGGGACAGCUGAGGUGUGCAGGGCAGGGUGAUGAGUCUCUGGCUGUUUGCAGGGUCCUUGCUCUGAUUUUCCCUCAGUGGUCUUUUCCAAUAUAGCUCUGUUUUGGGGUACAUGCUGAUUGGAUGGCUUUGUGGUGGUGGUGGUCUUCUUCUUCACAAGUCCCUUUUGAAACUUAUUUAAAUGAGUAGUCACAGGAAAUUAGCUUAGUUUUAUGUUCCAACAUGAGCUGAGACAAAGUAUUAAUUUGGCAGCUGGCCUCUGCCUCUAUUGAUUUUAUAUUCCAAGUGCAAGUGCAGCUCUUUGGGGCAAGAUACAGUUCACAGAAGCUGGAAUUAUGGUUAUAGGUGAUUAGUAUGCAGACCAUGGACAGCUGAGGUGAGAAGAAUUGGCCCAAAACCAAAAAUGUCCAUCAUCUUGGGGCAGGGAAUGCUUUGCUAUGCUUGGUGUUCUGCUCAACAUUAUCCCUAAUUUCCGGUUCGGGCUGAGUAUGAUGGGC